rnacentral:rRNA from 1 species
GAGUUUGAUCAUGGCUCAGGAUGAACGCUGGCGGCGUGCCUAACACAUGCAAGUCGAACGGAGAACUUAAGUGGAAGUUUUCGGAUGGAAACUUUUGUUCUUAGUGGCGGACGGGUGAGUAACGCGUGGGCAACCUGCCUCAUACAGGGGGACAACAGACGGAAACGUCUGCUAAGACCGCAUACGUCUUUUUGGUCGCAUGACUGAGAAGGGAAAAGAGCAAUCUGGUAUGAGAUGGGCCCGCGUCUGAUUAGCUAGUUGGUAGGGUAACGGCUUACCAAGGCGACGAUCAGUAGCCGGACUGAGAGGUCGGACGGCCACAUUGGGACUGAGACACGGCCCAAACUCCUACGGGAGGCAGCAGUGGGGGAUAUUGCACAAUGGAGGAAACUCUGAUGCAGCGACGCCGCGUGAGUGAAGAAGUAUUUCGGUAUGUAAAGCUCUAUCAGCAGGG